UAAUUACGCUAGUCGUUCAGAAAUGAUUACUUAUUUAAAAUCCUGAAUUGACAGUGAUGUAGAUGUUUUCUAGCUAACGUUAGGUAAUCUACGAGUAGCCUUCUGGUCAGUUUAGUUAAAGUGGUAACUAGUUUACUAACAUCACUGGGUCAUGAGAUUCUGCUGGUUUACUGGAACAAGGAAGAAAACUGGGCCAGGAAGAGCUGGGCCAGCUAGCUUUCUGUUGUAUAUACUGUAGUGGCUGUUGGCGGCCAUGGGGGGGCAGCAUGGUGCCAACUCGCACGUGUUCUACGUCGUGGAGAUGGACAGAGCGAGCAGGGCAGCCGGAGUGUUGGUGAAACAUCACGGACUGCAGUUCAUCUCACGGUAUUGUCAGAUGUAACAGCUCUGGGGUGGCCGCCAGGCUACACACUGAAACCCUGGAUGAUUGACAGCGCUGAUUAAGAGGAACCUUUCCCUCUGAUCGCACAAAGGUGGCGCGGCAGACCGGCGGCGCUGUGGGUUUUUUUAAGUUAAGCCCCGCCCACAGGUCACCCGGCGAAGGGGGCGGUCAGCGUGACCCGGACAGACGCAGGAACGGACGGGCGGAGGACCAGACAGACACA